rnacentral:rRNA from 1 species
CCAAGGAGUCUAACAUGUGCGCGAGUCGUCGGGUCUUGAAUAGGCCCGCGGGCGCAAUGAAAGUGAAGGGCGACCCCGUUGUCGUCUGCGUUGGGAUCCCCAGUACCGCCGCGUCUGGGGCGCACCAACGGCCCGUCCCGUCCGCAGUGUCGGUGGGACGGAGCGAGAGCGUACACGUUGGGACCCGAAAGAUGGUGAACUAUGCCUGGGCAGGACGAGGCCAGAGGAAACUCUGGUGGAGGUCCGCAGCGAUUCUGACGUGCAAAUCGAUCGUCAGACCUGGGUAUAGGGGCGAAAGACUAAUCGAACCAUC